rnacentral:rRNA from 1 species
GACGAACGCUGGCGGCGUGCCUAAUACAUGCAAGUCGAGCGGACUGAUUAAGAGCUUGCUCUUAUGACGUUAGCGGCGGACGGGUGAGUAACACGUGGGCAACCUGCCCUGUAGAUCGGGAUAACACCGAGAAAUCGGUGCUAAUACCGGGUAAUAUCUGAGAUCACAUGAUCUUAGGUUAAAAGAUGGCUCCGGCUAUCACUACAGGAUGGGCCCGCGGCGCAUUAGCUAGUUGGUAAGGUAAUGGCUUACCAAGGCGACGAUGCGGAGCCGACCUGAGAGGGUGAUGGGCCACACUGGGACUGAGACACGGCCCAGACUCCUACGGGAGGCAGCAGUAGGGAAUCUUCCGCAAUGGACGAAAGUCUGACGGAGCAACGCCGCGUGAGUGAUGAAGGGUUUCGGCUCGUAAAGCUCUGUUGUUAGGGAAGAAACAGUACCGAACGAACUAGGUCGGUACCUUGACGGUACCUAACCAGAAAGCCACGGCUAACUACGUG